UAGUCCAUGCUGUAAACGAUGAGGACUAGCUGUUGGAUAUAUAGAAAUAUCAAGUAGCGAAGCUAACGCGAUAAGUUCUCCGCCUGGGGAGUACGGCCGCAAGGCUAAAACUCAAAGGAAUUGACGGGGGCCCGCACAAGCGGUGGAGCAUGUGGUUUAAUUCGAUAGUAAGCGAAAAACCUUACCUACCCUUGACAUCCUUGGAAUCCCAAAGAAAUUUGGGAGUGCUUCGGAACCAAGUGACAGGUGCUGCAUGGCUGCCGUCAGCUCGUGUCGCGAGAUGUUGGGUUAAGUCCCGUAACGAGCGCAACCCCUAUACUUAGUUGCUACUGGCUUGCCAGGCACUCUAAGUAGACUGCCGGUGACAAACCGGAGGAAGGUGGGGAUGAUGUCAAGUCAUCAUGGCCCUUAUGGGUAGGGCUACACACGUGCUACAAUGGACAGUACAGAGGGUGUUGAAACCGUGAGGUGGAACAAGUCCCAGAAAGCUGUUCGUAGUCCGGAUUGGAGU
rnacentral:rRNA from 1 species